GACAAUGGCCAUGCUACCCUGAACACACCCGAUCUCGCCUGAUUUCGAAAGCUAAGCAGGGUAGGGUCUGGAUAGUACUUGGAUGGGAGACCACCUAAGAAGACCGGGUGCUAUAGGCG
ensembl:rRNA 5S_rRNA 5S ribosomal RNA